rnacentral:rRNA from 1 species
UAUGGUGAGUACUGCUAUGGGCCCUCCUUUCUGCCCGGGGACGGGCUCCUGGGCUUCACUGUCCCGGGACUCGGAGUCGGCGUUGUUACUUUGAGUAAAUUAGAGUGUUCAAAUCAGGCAUACGCCCUGAAUACUUUAGCAUGGAAUAACACGAUAGGACUCUGGCCUAUCUUGUUGGUCUGUAGGACCGGGAGUAAUGAUUAAGAGGGACAGUCGGGGGCAUUCGUAUUUCAUUGUCAGAGGUGAAAUUCUUGGAUUUAUGAAAGACGAACUACUGCGAAAGCAUUUGCCAAGGAUGUUUUCAUUAAUCAAGAACGAAAGUUGGGGGCUCGAAGACGAUUAGAUACCGUCGUAGUCUCAACCAUAAACGAUGCCGACUAGGGAUUGG